AAAGUUAUAAAUAUAUCAAGAUUAAGGAUUAGGAUUAAAAAGGUUAAAAGAAUGGAAAAAUUGGUUUUUAAUAGGUAAAAAUUUAAUGUUAUAUUAUAUUAAGAUUAAGGAUUGGGAUUAAAAAGGAGGGAAAGGAAUUGCUGGACUAACAAACUGAAUUGGAAUACAAAAGAGGGAGGUAUGAGGAGGUCCGGGAAACAAGUAAAUGUAAAAGUAGUGAUGAAAAGAGGGAAUUGUUUUUAACUGUUUUUUUUUUCCUUUUUGUAUAUUGCAUUGUGUAUUUUUCUUUUUAUUCUUGAAUUUUUCUUUUUAUGUUGAUGUGAUUCUUUCUUUGUGAAACUUUAAUAAAUAUCAUUU